rnacentral:rRNA from 1 species
UGGUUUAAUUCGAUGCAACGCGAAGAACCUUACCAGGUCUUGACAUCCCACGAAUUCAUCUGAAAGGAUGGAGUGCCUUCGGGAGCGUGGAGACAGGUGGUGCAUGGUUGUCGUCAGCUCGUGUCGUGAGAUGUUGGGUUAAGUCCCGCAACGAGCGCAACCCUUGCUAUUAGUUGCUAACAGGUAGAGCUGAGCACUCUAAUGGGACUGCCGGUGACAAGCCGGAGGAAGGUGGGGAUGACGUCAAAUCAUCAUGCCCUUUAUGACCUGGGCUACACACGUGCUACAAUGGAUGGUACAGAGAGCAGCGAGGCAGCGAUGUGGAGCGAAUCUCAAAAAGCCAUUCUCAGUUCGGAUUGGAGUCUGCAACUCGACUCCAUGAAGUCGGAAUCGCUAGUAAUCGCGAAUCAGCACGCCGCGGUGAAUACGUUCCCGGGCCUU